UACAGAGGGUGCGAGCGUUAAUCGGAAUUACUGGGCGUAAAGCGUGCGUAGGCGGACAUUUAAGUCAGGGGUGAAAUCCCGGGGCCCAACCCCGGAACUGCCUUUGAUACUGGGUGUCUAGAGUAUGGAAGAGGUGAGUGGAAUUCCGAGUGUAGAGGUGAAAUUCGUAGAUAUUCGGAGGAACACCAGUGGCGAAGGCGGCUCACUGGUCCAUUACUGACGCUGAGGUGCGAAAGCGUGGGGAGCAAACAGG
rnacentral:rRNA from 1 species